GUCCACGCCGUAAACGAUGGAUGCUAGCCGUCGGGGAGCUUGCUCUUCGGUGGCGCAGCUAACGCAUUAAGCAUCCCGCCUGGGGAGUACGGUCGCAAGAUUAAAACUCAAAGGAAUUGACGGGGGCCCCGCACAAGCGGUGGAGCAUGUGGUUUAAUUCGAAGCAACGCGCAUAACCUUACCAGCUCUUGACAUGUCACGUAUGGGUACCGGAGACGGUAUCCUUCAGUUCGGCUGGCGUGAACACAGGUGCUGCAUGGCUGUCGU
rnacentral:rRNA from 1 species